CUACGUGCCAGCAGCCGCGGUAAUACGUAUGUCACAAGCGUUAUCCGGAUUUAUUGGGCGUAAAGCGCGUCUAGGUGGUUAUGUAAGUCUGAUGUGAAAAUGCAGGGCUCAACUCUGUAUUGCGUUGGAAACUGUAUGACUAGAGUACUGGAGAGGUAAGCGGAACUACAAGUGUAGAGGUGAAAUUCGUAGAUAUUUGUAGGAAUGCCGAUGGGGAAGCCAGCUUACUGGACAGAUACUGACGCUAAAGCGCGAAAGCGUGGGUAGCAAACAGGAUUAGAUACCCUGGUAGUCCACSCCGUAAACGAUGAUUACUAGGUGUUGGGGGUCGAACCUCAGCGCCCAAGCUAACGCGAUAAGUAAUCCGCCUGGGGAGUACGUACGCAAGUAUGAAACUCAAAGGAAUUGACGGGGGCCCGCMCAAGCGGUGGAGUAUGUGGUUUAAUUCGACGCAACGCGAAGAACCUUACCAGGUCUUGACAU
rnacentral:rRNA from 1 species